CACGUAGGGACCGAGCGUUGUCCGGAUUUAUUGGGCGUAAAGAGCUCGUAGGCGGUUCAGCAAGUCGGGUGUGAAAACUCUGGGCUCAACCCAGAGACGCCACCCGAUACUGCUGUGACUAGAGUCCGGUAGGGGAGUGGGGAAUUCCUGGUGUAGCGGUGAAAUGCGCAGAUAUCAGGAGGAACACCGGUGGCGAAGGCGCCACUCUGGGCCGGCACUGACGCUGAGACGCGAAAGCGUGGGGAGCAAACAGG
rnacentral:rRNA from 1 species